CUUUUGUUUUUUUUUUUUUUGUUUUUUUUGUUUUUUUUUUUUUUUUUCGAAAUUUGCUUAAUUUUCCUCUCUGUAUUUUUCCAAUUUUCAUUUUUUUUCUUCUUAUUUGAUGUAUAUGAUGGUUAAUUAUUUGUUGUAUAUGAUAAUCUGUAUAUCUCCACCACAACAAAAGCCAGUUUUUUUCUUUUAAUUUUGGUCAGUUGAUCAGUGUUACUGGAGCUCAAUGUUUUUGCCCUCAGACACUGUAGGGUUUGUAUAAACGGUUGGUUCUUUUUCCUGGCUCAUCCAUUUCCUAGGGUUUAAUUGAGUUUCCGCGGGCUGAUCUUGUUGUUGAGCUUGUUCUUGUGCAGGUUGGUUCAUUACCACAGAUGUUUUGGAGGCCUCACUCUACAAGAAUUUAGCUCCUCACUCCUCUCCCUCUCUCAUCUCUUCGCCGCCACCGCUGCCGCCGUCACUGCCGUGGCCUUCCGUGCCUUCUGUCGUUGUCGCCGCUGCUGAGUUCAUCAGACGGAAACUUUUAGCACCGCUCGCUGGAACCUCAGAUCUCAGCUCAUAUUCUUAGGAGACAUCUGGAUAUCUUGAGCU